rnacentral:lncRNA from 1 species
GGUUAGGGUUAGGGUUAGGGUUAGGGUUAGGGGUUAGGGUUAGGGUUAGGGUUAGGGUUAGGGUUAGGGUUAGGGUUAGGGUUAGGGUUAGGGUUAGGGUUAGGGUUAGGGUUAGGGUUAGGGUUAGGGUUAGGGUUAGGGUUAGGGUUAUGGUCUAUGGUUAUGGUUAGGGUUAGGAUCGGGUUAGGGUUAGGGUUAGGGUUAGGGUUAGGGUUAGGGUUAGGGUUAGGGUUAGGGUUAGGGUUAGGGUUAGGGUUAGGGUUAGGGUUAGGGUUAGGGUUAGGGUUAGGGUUAGGGUUAGGGUUAGGGGUUAGGGUUAGGGUUAGGGUUAGGGUUAGGGUUAGGGUUAGGGUUAGGGGAUUAGGGUUAGGGUUAGGGUUAGGGUAAGGGUUAGGGUUAGGGUUAGGGUUAGGGUUAGGGUUAGGGUUAGGGUUAGGGUUAGGGUUAGGGUUAGGGUUAGGGUUAGGGUUAGGGUUAGGGUUAGGGGUUAGGGUUAGGGUUAGGGUUAGGAUAUAGGGAUAUGUGCCACUUUUGACAUGCCGGUUCAUUGCCUUUCCCAAUGAUGAACCGGGCUGAGAUUUGGUCUACCCCCCCAUUUUCGGGUAUGCUGAAUCUAGAAAUAGUAAUGAACCAGCGAUCGGACAUUCCUAUCAAAAGUUAUGGCGAAGUGAAAAUUUCCCAUUGAAAAUGAAUGGGAGCGGGAAAAUGGCCAAAGUCAGUGUUUGCAAGUGUUCUACUUGUCUGGAAAUGUUGAAAAUGCAUUGUGAGCACGUUUCAGGCCAUUUCCUGUCAUUUGAGGGCGACUUUGCAAAAAGGGGUGUCCUACCGCUUUUGACCAGAGGUGGCGCUGCACAUGUCCGACGGUUAGGGUUAGGGUGAGACUUUGGGCAAGGGGUUAGGGUUAGGGCUGGAGCUAUGGUUAGGGUUAGUGGUGGAGCUAGGGUUGGAGCUAGGGUUAGGGUUAGGGUUGGAGCUAGGGUUAGGGUUAGGGUUAGGAAAAUGUGAAGAUUUUCCCAAAAUCUGAAGAUUUUCCUAAGUGCGGACCCAAUUUUUCACCUUCCAGAAUUGUGUUAGGAGCACGUUUCAGGCCACGGGGAGUCCAUAGAACCUGAUUGUGGGUGAAGUUUUCGGGGGUUGGAGCUUUGGGGCAGGAUAUAGGGAUAUGUGCCACUUUUGACAUGCCGGUUCAUUGCCUUUCCCAAUGAUGAACCGGGCUGAGAUUUGGUCUACCCCCCCAUUUUCGGGUAUGCUGAAUCUAGAAAUAGUAAUGAACCAGCGAUCGGACAUUCCUAUCAAAAGUUAUGGCGAAGUGAAAAUUUCCCAUUGAAGAUGAAUGGGAGCGGAAAAAUGGCCAAAGUCAGUGUUUGCAAGUGUUCUACUUGUCUGGAAAUGUUGAAAAUGCAUUGUGAGCACGUUUCAGGCCAUUUCCUGUCAUUUGAGGGCGACUUUGCAAAAAGGGGUGUCCUACCGCUUUUGACCAGAGGUGGCGCUGCACAUGUCCGACGGUUAGGGUUAGGGUGAGACUUUGGGCAAGGGGUUAGGGUUAGGGCUGGAGCUAUGGUUAGGGUUAGUUGUGGAGCUAGGGUUGGAGCUAGGGUUAGGGUUAGGGUUGGAGCUAGGGUUAGGGUUAGGGUUAGGAAAAUGUGAAGAUUUUCCCAAAAUCUGAAGAUUUUCCUAAGUGCGGACCCAAUUUUUCACCUUCCAGAAUUGUGUUAGGAGCACGUUUCAGGCCACGGGGAGUCCAUAGAACCUGAUUGUGGGUGAAGUUUUCGGGGGUUGGAGCUUUGGGGCAGGAUAUAGGGAUAUGUGCCACUUUUGACAUGCCGGUUCAUUGCCUUUCCCAAUGAUGAACCGGGCUGAGAUUUGGUCUACCCCCCAUUUUCGGGUAUGCUGAAUCUAGAAAUAGUAAUGAACCAGCGAUCGGACAUUCCUAUCAAAAGUUAUGGCGAAGUGAAAAUUUCCCAUUGAAGAUGAAUGGGAGCGGAAAAAUGGCCAAAGUCAGUGUUUGCAAGUGUUCUACUUGUCUGGAAAUGUUGAAAAUGCAUUGUGAGCACGUUUCAGGCCAUUUCCUGUCAUUUGAGGGCGACUUUGCAAAAAGGGGUGUCCUACCGCUUUUGACCAGAGGUGGCGCUGCACAUGUCCGACGGUUAGGGUUAGGGUGAGACUUUGGGCAAGGGGUUAGGGUUAGGGCUGGAGCUAUGGUUAGGGUUAGUUGUGGAGCUAGGGUUGGAGCUAGGGUUAGGGUUAGGGUUGGAGCUAGGGUUAGGGUUAGGGUUAGGAAAAUGUGAAGAUUUUCCCAAAAUCUGAAGAUUUUCCUAAGUGCGGACCCAAUUUUUCACCUUCCAGAAUUGUGUUAGGAGCACGUUUCAGGCCACGGGGAGUCCAUAGAACCUGAUUGUGGGUGAAGUUUUCGGGGGUUGGAGCUUUGGGGCAGGAUAUAGGGAUAUGUGCCACUUUUGACAUGCCGGUUCAUUGCCUUUCCCAAUGAUGAACCGGGCUGAGAUUUGGUCUACCCCCCCAUUUUCGGGUAUGCUGAAUCUAGAAAUAGUAAUGAACCAGCGAUCGGACAUUCCUAUCAAAAGUUAUGGCGAAGUGAAAAUUUCCCAUUGAAGAUGAAUGGGAGCGGAAAAAUGGCCAAAGUCAGUGUUUGCAAGUGUUCUACUUGUCUGGAAAUGUUGAAAAUGCAUUGUGAGCACGUUUCAGGCCAUUUCCUGUCAUUUGAGGGCGACUUUGCAAAAGGGGUGUCCUACCGCUUUUGACCAGAGGUGGCGCUGCACAUGUCCGACGGUUAGGGUUAGGGUGAGACUUUGGGCAAGGGGUUAGGGUUAGGGCUGGAGCUAUGGUUAGGGUUAGUUGUGGAGCUAGGGUUGGAGCUAGGGUUAGGGUUAGGGUUGGAGCUAGGGUUAGGGUUAGGGUUAGGAAAAUGUGAAGAUUUUCCCAAAAUCUGAAGAUUUUCCUAAGUGCGGACCCAAUUUUUCACCUUCCAGAAUUGUGUUAGGAGCACGUUUCAGGCCACGGGGAGUCCAUAGAACCUGAUUGUGGGUGAAGUUUUCGGGGGUUGGAGCUUUGGGGCAGGAUAUAGGGAUAUGUGCCACUUUUGACAUGCCGGUUCAUUGCCUUUCCCAAUGAUGAACCGGGCUGAGAUUUGGUCUACCCCCCCAUUUUCGGGUAUGCUGAAUCUAGAAAUAGUAAUGAACCAGCGAUCGGACAUUCCUAUCAAAAGUUAUGGCGAAGUGAAAAUUUCCCAUUGAAGAUGAAUGGGAGCGGAAAAAUGGCCAAAGUCAGUGUUUGCAAGUGUUCUACUUGUCUGGAAAUGUUGAAAAUGCAUUGUGAGCACGUUUCAGGCCAUUUCCUGUCAUUUGAGGGCGACUUUGCAAAAAGGGGUGUCCUACCGCUUUUGACCAGAGGUGGCGCUGCACAUGUCCGACGGUUAGGGUUAGGGUGAGACUUUGGGCAAGGGGUUAGGGUUAGGGCUGGAGCUAUGGUUAGGGUUAGUUGUGGAGCUAGGGUUGGAGCUAGGGUUAGGGUUAGGGUUGGAGCUAGGGUUAGGGUUAGGGUUAGGAAAAUGUGAAGAUUUUCCCAAAAUCUGAAGAUUUUCCUAAGUGCGGACCCAAUUUUUCACCUUCCAGAAUUGUGUUAGGAGCACGUUUCAGGCCACGGGGAGUCCAUAGAACCUGAUUGUGGGUGAAGUUUUCGGGGGUUGGAGCUUUGGGGCAGGAUAUAGGGAUAUGUGCCACUUUUGACAUGCCGGUUCAUUGCCUUUCCCAAUGAUGAACCGGGCUGAGAUUUGGUCUACCCCCCCAUUUUCGGGUAUGCUGAAUCUAGAAAUAGUAAUGAACCAGCGAUCGGACAUUCCUAUCAAAAGUUAUGGCGAAGUGAAAAUUUCCCAUUGAAGAUGAAUGGGAGCGGAAAAAUGGCCAAAGUCAGUGUUUGCAAGUGUUCUACUUGUCUGGAAAUGUUGAAAAUGCAUUGUGAGCACGUUUCAGGCCAUUUCCUGUCAUUUGAGGGCGACUUUGCAAAAAGGGGUGUCCUACCGCUUUUGACCAGAGGUGGCGCUGCACAUGUCCGACGGUUAGGGUUAGGGUGAGACUUUGGGCAAGGGGUUAGGGUUAGGGCUGGAGCUAUGGUUAGGGUUAGUUGUGGAGCUAGGGUUGGAGCUAGGGUUAGGGUUAGGGUUGGAGCUAGGGUUAGGGUUAGGGUUAGGAAAAUGUGAAGAUUUUCCCAAAAUCUGAAGAUUUUCCUAAGUGCGGACCCAAUUUUUCACCUUCCAGAAUUGUGUUAGGAGCACGUUUCAGGCCACGGGGAGUCCAUAGAACCUGAUUGUGGGUGAAGUUUUCGGGGGUUGGAGCUUUGGGGCAGGAUAUAGGGAUAUGUGCCACUUUUGACAUGCCGGUUCAUUGCCUUUCCCAAUGAUGAACCGGGCUGAGAUUUGGUCUACCCCCCCAUUUUCGGGUAUGCUGAAUCUAGAAAUAGUAAUGAACCAGCGAUCGGACAUUCCUAUCAAAAGUUAUGGCGAAGUGAAAAUUUCCCAUUGAAGAUGAAUGGGAGCGGAAAAAUGGCCAAAGUCAGUGUUUGCAAGUGUUCUACUUGUCUGGAAAUGUUGAAAAUGCAUUGUGAGCACGUUUCAGGCCAUUUCCUGUCAUUUGAGGGCGACUUUGCAAAAGGGGUGUCCUACCGCUUUUGACCAGAGGUGGCGCUGCACAUGUCCGACGGUUAGGGUUAGGGUGAGACUUUGGGCAAGGGGUUAGGGUUAGGGCUGGAGCUAUGGUUAGGGUUAGUUGUGGAGCUAGGGUUGGAGCUAGGGUUAGGGUUAGGGUUGGAGCUAGGGUUAGGGUUAGGGUUAGGAAAAUGUGAAGAUUUUCCCAAAAUCUGAAGAUUUUCCUAAGUGCGGACCCAAUUUUUCACCUUCCAGAAUUGUGUUAGGAGCACGUUUCAGGCCACGGGGAGUCCAUAGAACCUGAUUGUGGGUGAAGUUUUCGGGGGUUGGAGCUUUGGGGCAGGAUAUAGGGAUAUGUGCCACUUUUGACAUGCCGGUUCAUUGCCUUUCCCAAUGAUGAACCGGGCUGAGAUUUGGUCUACCCCCCCAUUUUCGGGUAUGCUGAAUCUAGAAAUAGUAAUGAACCAGCGAUCGGACAUUCCUAUCAAAAGUUAUGGCGAAGUGAAAAUUUCCCAUUGAAGAUGAAUGGGAGCGGAAAAAUGGCCAAAGUCAGUGUUUGCAAGUGUUCUACUUGUCUGGAAAUGUUGAAAAUGCAUUGUGAGCACGUUUCAGGCCAUUUCCUGUCAUUUGAGGGCGACUUUGCAAAAAGGGGUGUCCUACCGCUUUUGACCAGAGGUGGCGCUGCACAUGUCCGACGGUUAGGGUUAGGGUGAGACUUUGGGCAAGGGGUUAGGGUUAGGGCUGGAGCUAUGGUUAGGGUUAGUUGUGGAGCUAGGGUUGGAGCUAGGGUUAGGGUUAGGGUUGGAGCUAGGGUUAGGGUUAGGGUUAGGAAAAUGUGAAGAUUUUCCCAAAAUCUGAAGAUUUUCCUAAGUGCGGACCCAAUUUUUCACCUUCCAGAAUUGUGUUAGGAGCACGUUUCAGGCCACGGGGAGUCCAUAGAACCUGAUUGUGGGUGAAGUUUUCGGGGGUUGGAGCUUUGGGGCAGGAUAUAGGGAUAUGUGCCACUUUUGACAUGCCGGUUCAUUGCCUUUCCCAAUGAUGAACCGGGCUGAGAUUUGGUCUACCCCCCAUUUUCGGGUAUGCUGAAUCUAGAAAUAGUAAUGAACCAGCGAUCGGACAUUCCUAUCAAAAGUUAUGGCGAAGUGAAAAUUUCCCAUUGAAGAUGAAUGGGAGCGGAAAAAUGGCCAAAGUCAGUGUUUGCAAGUGUUCUACUUGUCUGGAAAUGUUGAAAAUGCAUUGUGAGCACGUUUCAGGCCAUUUCCUGUCAUUUGAGGGCGACUUUGCAAAAAGGGGUGUCCUACCGCUUUUGACCAGAGGUGGCGCUGCACAUGUCCGACGGUUAGGGUUAGGGUGAGACUUUGGGCAAGGGGUUAGGGUUAGGGCUGGAGCUAUGGUUAGGGUUAGUUGUGGAGCUAGGGUUGGAGCUAGGGUUAGGGUUAGGGUUGGAGCUAGGGUUAGGGUUAGGGUUAGGAAAAUGUGAAGAUUUUCCCAAAAUCUGAAGAUUUUCCUAAGUGCGGACCCAAUUUUUCACCUUCCAGAAUUGUGUUAGGAGCACGUUUCAGGCCACGGGGAGUCCAUAGAACCUGAUUGUGGGUGAAGUUUUCGGGGGUUGGAGCUUUGGGGCAGGAUAUAGGGAUAUGUGCCACUUUUGACAUGCCGGUUCAUUGCCUUUCCCAAUGAUGAACCGGGCUGAGAUUUGGUCUACCCCCCCAUUUUCGGGUAUGCUGAAUCUAGAAAUAGUAAUGAACCAGCGAUCGGACAUUCCUAUCAAAAGUUAUGGCGAAGUGAAAAUUUCCCAUUGAAGAUGAAUGGGAGCGGAAAAAUGGCCAAAGUCAGUGUUUGCAAGUGUUCUACUUGUCUGGAAAUGUUGAAAAUGCAUUGUGAGCACGUUUCAGGCCAUUUCCUGUCAUUUGAGGGCGACUUUGCAAAAGGGGUGUCCUACCGCUUUUGACCAGAGGUGGCGCUGCACAUGUCCGACGGUUAGGGUUAGGGUGAGACUUUGGGCAAGGGGUUAGGGUUAGGGCUGGAGCUAUGGUUAGGGUUAGUUGUGGAGCUAGGGUUGGAGCUAGGGUUAGGGUUAGGGUUGGAGCUAGGGUUAGGGUUAGGGUUAGGAAAAUGUGAAGAUUUUCCCAAAAUCUGAAGAUUUUCCUAAGUGCGGACCCAAUUUUUCACCUUCCAGAAUUGUGUUAGGAGCACGUUUCAGGCCACGGGGAGUCCAUAGAACCUGAUUGUGGGUGAAGUUUUCGGGGGUUGGAGCUUUGGGGCAGGAUAUAGGGAUAUGUGCCACUUUUGACAUGCCGGUUCAUUGCCUUUCCCAAUGAUGAACCGGGCUGAGAUUUGGUCUACCCCCCAUUUUCGGGUAUGCUGAAUCUAGAAAUAGUAAUGAACCAGCGAUCGGACAUUCCUAUCAAAAGUUAUGGCGAAGUGAAAAUUUCCCAUUGAAGAUGAAUGGGAGCGGAAAAAUGGCCAAAGUCAGUGUUUGCAAGUGUUCUACUUGUCUGGAAAUGUUGAAAAUGCAUUGUGAGCACGUUUCAGGCCAUUUCCUGUCAUUUGAGGGCGACUUUGCAAAAAGGGGUGUCCUACCGCUUUUGACCAGAGGUGGCGCUGCACAUGUCCGACGGUUAGGGUUAGGGUGAGACUUUGGGCAAGGGGUUAGGGUUAGGGCUGGAGCUAUGGUUAGGGUUAGUUGUGGAGCUAGGGUUGGAGCUAGGGUUAGGGUUAGGGUUGGAGCUAGGGUUAGGGUUAGGGUUAGGAAAAUGUGAAGAUUUUCCCAAAAUCUGAAGAUUUUCCUAAGUGCGGACCCAAUUUUUCACCUUCCAGAAUUGUGUUAGGAGCACGUUUCAGGCCACGGGGAGUCCAUAGAACCUGAUUGUGGGUGAAGUUUUCGGGGGUUGGAGCUUUGGGGCAGGAUAUAGGGAUAUGUGCCACUUUUGACAUGCCGGUUCAUUGCCUUUCCCAAUGAUGAACCGGGCUGAGAUUUGGUCUACCCCCCAUUUUCGGGUAUGCUGAAUCUAGAAAUAGUAAUGAACCAGCGAUCGGACAUUCCUAUCAAAAGUUAUGGCGAAGUGAAAAUUUCCCAUUGAAGAUGAAUGGGAGCGGAAAAAUGGCCAAAGUCAGUGUUUGCAAGUGUUCUACUUGUCUGGAAAUGUUGAAAAUGCAUUGUGAGCACGUUUCAGGCCAUUUCCUGUCAUUUGAGGGCGACUUUGCAAAAAGGGGUGUCCUACCGCUUUUGACCAGAGGUGGCGCUGCACAUGUCCGACGGUUAGGGUUAGGGUGAGACUUUGGGCAAGGGGUUAGGGUUAGGGCUGGAGCUAUGGUUAGGGUUAGUUGUGGAGCUAGGGUUGGAGCUAGGGUUAGGGUUAGGGUUGGAGCUAGGGUUAGGGUUAGGGUUAGGAAAAUGUGAAGAUUUUCCCAAAAUCUGAAGAUUUUCCUAAGUGCGGACCCAAUUUUUCACCUUCCAGAAUUGUGUUAGGAGCACGUUUCAGGCCACGGGGAGUCCAUAGAACCUGAUUGUGGGUGAAGUUUUCGGGGGUUGGAGCUUUGGGGCAGGAUAUAGGGAUAUGUGCCACUUUUGACAUGCCGGUUCAUUGCCUUUCCCAAUGAUGAACCGGGCUGAGAUUUGGUCUACCCCCCAUUUUCGGGUAUGCUGAAUCUAGAAAUAGUAAUGAACCAGCGAUCGGACAUUCCUAUCAAAAGUUAUGGCGAAGUGAAAAUUUCCCAUUGAAGAUGAAUGGGAGCGGAAAAAUGGCCAAAGUCAGUGUUUGCAAGUGUUCUACUUGUCUGGAAAUGUUGAAAAUGCAUUGUGAGCACGUUUCAGGCCAUUUCCUGUCAUUUGAGGGCGACUUUGCAAAAGGGGUGUCCUACCGCUUUUGACCAGAGGUGGCGCUGCACAUGUCCGACGGUUAGGGUUAGGGUGAGACUUUGGGCAAGGGGUUAGGGUUAGGGCUGGAGCUAUGGUUAGGGUUAGUUGUGGAGCUAGGGUUGGAGCUAGGGUUAGGGUUAGGGUUGGAGCUAGGGUUAGGGUUAGGGUUAGGAAAAUGUGAAGAUUUUCCCAAAAUCUGAAGAUUUUCCUAAGUGCGGACCCAAUUUUUCACCUUCCAGAAUUGUGUUAGGAGCACGUUUCAGGCCACGGGGAGUCCAUAGAACCUGAUUGUGGGUGAAGUUUUCGGGGGUUGGAGCUUUGGGGCAGGAUAUAGGGAUAUGUGCCACUUUUGACAUGCCGGUUCAUUGCCUUUCCCAAUGAUGAACCGGGCUGAGAUUUGGUCUACCCCCCAUUUUCGGGUAUGCUGAAUCUAGAAAUAGUAAUGAACCAGCGAUCGGACAUUCCUAUCAAAAGUUAUGGCGAAGUGAAAAUUUCCCAUUGAAGAUGAAUGGGAGCGGAAAAAUGGCCAAAGUCAGUGUUUGCAAGUGUUCUACUUGUCUGGAAAUGUUGAAAAUGCAUUGUGAGCACGUUUCAGGCCAUUUCCUGUCAUUUGAGGGCGACUUUGCAAAAAGGGGUGUCCUACCGCUUUUGACCAGAGGUGGCGCUGCACAUGUCCGACGGUUAGGGUUAGGGUGAGACUUUGGGCAAGGGGUUAGGGUUAGGGCUGGAGCUAUGGUUAGGGUUAGUUGUGGAGCUAGGGUUGGAGCUAGGGUUAGGGUUAGGGUUAGGGUUAGGGUUAGGGUUAGGGUUAGGGUUAGGGUUAGGGUUAGGGUUAGGGUUAGGGUUAGGGUUAGGGUUAGGGUUAGGGUUAGGGUUAGGGUUAGGGUUAGGGUUAGGGUUAGGGUUAGGGUUAGGGUUAGGGUUAGGGUUAGGGUUAGGGUUAGGGUUAGGGUUAGGGUUAGGGUUAGGGUUAGGGUUAGGGUUAGGGUUAGGGUU